UACGUAGGGGGCAAGCGUUGUCCGGAAUUAUUGGGCGUAAAGAGUUCGUAGGCGGUUUGUCGCGUCGAAUGUGAAAACCCGGGGCUCAACCUCGGGCCUGCAUUCGAUACGGGCAGACUAGAGUUCGGUAGGGGAGUCUGGAAUUCCUGGUGUAGCGGUGAAAUGCGCAGAUAUCAGGAGGAACACCGGUGGCGAAGGCGGGACUCUGGGCCGAUACUGACGCUGAGGAGCGAAAGCGUGGGGAGCAAACAGG
rnacentral:rRNA from 1 species